rnacentral:rRNA from 1 species
AAGCUCGUAGUUGAAUUUCGGGACUAGUACGUUGGUCGUGCCUUAGGUACGUACUGGUGUUACUGGUUCCUACCUUCUGACGAACCAUUAUGUCAUUUAAUUUGGUGUGGUGGGGAAUCAGGACUGUUACUUUGAAAAAAUUAGAGUGUUUAAAGCAGGCUCGCGCUUGAAUACAUUAGCAUGGAAUAAUGAAAUAGGACGUUGAUCCUAUUUUGUUGGUUUCUAGGAUUGACGUAAUGAUUAAUAGGGAUAGUUGGG